CUUGAUUCAGCUAGUUCGGUUGAGGUAAAAGCUCACCAAGGCGACGAUCAGUAGCUGGUCUGAUAGGACGACCAGCCACACUGGAAUCUUGAGACACCGAUCCAGAUCUCAUAACGGGAGGCAGCAGUGGGGAAUUUUCGGACAAUGGGGGCAACCCUGAUCCAUCUUAUGCCGCGUGAGUGAAGAAGGCCUUCGGGUUGUAAGCUCUUUUGUCAGGGAAGAAACGGUGUUCUCUAAUACGGGGCGCUAUGACGGUCACCUGAAGAAUAAGCACCGGCU
rnacentral:rRNA from 1 species